rnacentral:rRNA from 1 species
UACGGAGGAUCCGAGCGUUAUCCGGAUUUAUUGGGUUUAAAGGGAGCGUAGGUGGAUUGUUAAGUCAGUUGUGAAAGUUUGCGGCUCAACCGUAAAAUUGCAGUUGAAACUGGCAGUCUUGAGUACAGUAGAGGUGGGCGGAAUUCGUGGUGUAGCGGUGAAAUGCGUAGAGAUAUGGAGGAACACCAGUGGCGAAGGCGGCUUCCUGGUCUGCAACUGACACUGAGGCGCGAAAGCGUGGGGAGCAAACAGG